UAGGGAAUAUUGGACAAUGGGGGGAACCCUGAUCCAGCCAUGCCGCGUGGAGGAAGACUGCCCUCUGGGUUGUAAACUCCUUUUAUAUGGGAAGAACCGUCCUCAUUGAUGAGUGACCUGACGGUACCAUAGGAAUAAGCACCGGCUAACUCCGUGCCAGCAGCCGCGGUAAUACGGAGGGUGCAAGCGUUAUCCGGAUUCACUGGGUUUAAAGGGUGCGUAGGCGGAUAUGUAAGUCAGUGGUGAAAUCAACGGGCUCAACCUGUUAACUGCCAUUGAUACUGUGUAUCUUGAAUAUGAGAGAGGUAGGCGUAAUGUUGCAUGUAGCGGUGAAAUGCUUAGAUAUGCUACGGAACACCGAUUGCGAAGGCAGCUUACUAUUUCGUAAUUGACGCUGAGGCACGAAAGCGUGGGUAGCGAACA
rnacentral:rRNA from 1 species